UACGGAGGGAGCUAGCGUUGUUCGGAAUUACUGGGCGUAAAGCGCACGUAGGCGGCUUUGUAAGUUAGAGGUGAAAGCCCGGGGCUCAACCCCGGAACUGCCUUUAAGACUGCAUCGCUUGAAUCCAGGAGAGGUGAGUGGAAUUCCGAGUGUAGAGGUGAAAUUCGUAGAUAUUCGGAAGAACACCAGUGGCGAAGGCGGCUCACUGGCCUGGUAUUGACGCUGAGGUGCGAAAGCGUGGGGAGCGAACAGG
rnacentral:rRNA from 1 species